rnacentral:rRNA from 1 species
AACGAACGCUGGCGGCAGGCUUAACACAUGCAAGUCGAGCGCCCCGCAAGGGGAGCGGCAGACGGGUGAGUAACGCGUGGAAUCUACCCAUCUCUACGGAAUAACGCAUGGAAACGUGUGCUAAUACCGUAUACGUCCUUCGGGAGAAAGAUUUAUCGGAGAUGGAUGAGCCCGCGUUGGAUUAGCUAGUUGGUGGGGUAAAGGCCUACCAAGGCGACGAUCCAUAGCUGGUCUGAGAGGAUGAUCAGCCACACUGGGACUGAGACACGGCCCAGACUCCUACGGGAGGCAGCAGUGGGGAAUAUUGGACAAUGGGCGCAGGCCUGAUCCAGCCAUGCCGCGUGAGUGAUGAAGGCCCUAGGGUUGUAAAGCUCUUUCACCGGUGAAGAUAAUGACGGUAACCGGAGAAGAAGCCCCGGCUAACUUCGUGCCAGCCGCCGCUGUAAAAC